rnacentral:rRNA from 1 species
CAUCCUCCUGUGCUCGUCUCCACCACACGCGCGCGCGACAUUAUUCCUUCGCGCAGCACGACGNUAAUAGUCACCUCGGAGGAGCCGCCAGGAGGAAUACAGAAGUAUAGGCGGGGUCCGCACAAGCGGUGAGCAUGUGGUUUAAUUCGAUGAUACGCGAGGAACCUUACCUGGGCUAGAAUGUGAAGGAAUCGAUGCAGAGAUGCAUCAG